AACGAACGCUGGCGGCAGGCUUAACACAUGCAAGUCGAGCGCCCCGCAAGGGGAGCGGCAGACGGGUGAGUAACGCGUGGGAAUCUACCGUGCCCUACGGAAUAGCUCCGGGAAACUGGAAUUAAUACCGUAUACGCCCUUAGGGGGAAAGAUUUAUCGGGGUAUGAUGAGCCCGCGUUGGAUUAGCUAGUUGGUGGGGUAAAGGCCUACCAAGGCGACGAUCCAUAGCUGGUCUGAGAGGAUGAUCAGCCACAUUGGGACUGAGACACGGCCCAAACUCCUACGGGAGGCAGCAGUGGGGAAGAUUGGACAAUGGGCGCAAGCCUGAUCCAGCCAUGCCGCGUGAGUGAUGAAGGCCCUAGGGUUGUAAAGCUCUUUCACCGGUGAAGAUAAUGACGGUAACCGGAGAAGAAGCCCCGGCUAACUUCGUGCCAGCCGCCGCCGUAA
rnacentral:rRNA from 1 species